rnacentral:rRNA from 1 species
AUGCGUGCAGGCAUAGAGGAGGUCUUUCCGUUGGCAGUGCAUAGGCACUACAGGUGGCACAUUAUAAAGAAGGCUGAGGAGACGCUAGGACCGUUCUUUGCUGACCGUCCAGAGCUCCACAAGGCAUUCGAGCUGUGCAUGGACCACAGCUUGAUGGUGGAGGAGUUUGAAAGGAGUUGAAUGGCCAUGAUUGAAACAUAUCAAGUCCAAGACAACGAGACGCUUGCUAGCCUGUGGGAGAAGCGAAUGUACUGGGUGCCGGCCUACUUCAUGCAGUGCUUCUUCCCCUUUCUGCAGACUACGCAGCGCAGCGAGGGGUUCAAUGCAGUUUUGAAGCGGUACGUGAGCCCUGGCAACUCAUUGCUACAGUUUGCCAAGCAAUACACAACUUUGCAACAAAAAAUUCUGGGAUUUGAGCUACAGCAAGAAGCGACCACCGCGCUAAAGCAGCCAAAAUUGCUAACGUAUUUACCGAUGGAGAGGCAAAUGAGCAAGAUAUACACCAACAAGAUCUUUAACAAGUAA